CUUGACUGCUCCACGCGCCUGGGAGGGAUUUUCCAUGUUUGCAUGUUUCAGUGCACAAUCUUACAAAACCCUGAACUGACACACAAUCGGUUUCGUUUGAAAGGACUGCAUUAUUGAGCUCUGGUUAUAAAAAGGGCACCACGAUAGAGAGAACAGAAACUGUUCAGUUUGGACAACGAUCUGUUUGUUGACAGUAGCUGAGGACGAAGUAAGUUGACGAGACAGACGUUCACUGCUACAGUACUCGCCUCUGUUAGAGCUGCUUCUUCCCACAACCAUGGGUGUGAAAGUGCUGCAGUGCUUUCCCUGGUCCAGGAACUCCAAGGAGAGGAGCAAGAGUAGGCAAAGCACCAUCCGCACAGACACCUCCCUGCAAGAAGAGAAACCACAGUCGCCUGUUGCCCCAGCAUGGCACGAUGAGGGAGUGCAGAGGAGCUCGCGGGAGGCUCGGCACGUCUGCCUGACUCACAAAGCCGUCAUCUGUCUUCGACACCGGCUGGACGGCAACGUCAUUGAUUCCACCAACUGACGUCCCCAUUGGACGACCGGAAGGACCCGGGACUGUUACUAAUGCAAGUUCACAGCCCCUGAAGCUACUCCUGCAUUUGGGGUCAAAGGGUGGCUACUAAUACAACUUAUAGGGCAGGACUCAUUAAGCAACCCUCAGUCGGCCAUGGGCCUGAGGUGUGAGCUGCUACAGUGACAGGGACCGCCUGAAGAGGCCGCCACUGAGAGGCUAGGCCAGCUGCAUAGAAGUGUCCACAUAUACCCCGUCAUGCAUUCAUCUAACUGUUUAUCUUGGUUUGGGGUGCAGCAGGGCCUGGAGUCUAUCUCAGGCAGCAUAUUAGACAAGGUUGGGGUACAUCCUGGAUGGUAUGCCAGUCCGUAACACAAAGCCUACAUGCAGAUACAUACGCACAGCCAUAUUCUGUGGGUAACAGAGAGAGACCUUUUAGCCUAACGGCAUGUCUUUGGACCGUGGGAGGAAACGCAGACAAACAAACUCCUGAGUUUCCAUAGUGACUCGGUUACUAAAAUUUGUAUAAUUUAUGUAUGUGUGUGUGUGUAACUGAGAUGUGUAGGCCUCUCCUGUUGGGAUGACUCCCUAUUUCCCAUGGGUACACCCUCUGCAGUCUCUGGGCUGUGUCAUCUGUGAAAUAAAGAGCUACCAAGCUU